rfam:Picea glauca, whole genome shotgun sequence.
ACAUGCCUACAACAUAGCGUUAAUGCAUCAGAUCCAAUCAGAACUCCGUAGUUAAGCGCGCUCAGGCUAGAGUGGUACUGGGAUGGGUGACCGCUUGGGAAGUCCUAGUGUUUUACAUGCC